rnacentral:lncRNA from 1 species
GCGCGGUGGCUCACGCCUGUGGUCCCAGCACUUUGGGAGGCCGAGGCGGGCGGAUCACGAGGUCAGGAGAUCGAGACCAUCCUGGCUAACACGGUGAAACCCCGUCUCUACUAAAAAUACAAAAAAUUAGCCGGGCGUGGUGGCGGGCGCCUGUGGUCCCAGCUACUCGGGAGGCUGAGGCAGGAGAAUGGCGUGAACCCGGGAGGCGGAGCUUGCAGUGAGCCGAGAUCGCGCCACUGCACUCCAGCCUGGGCGACAGAGCGAGACUCCGUCUCAA